rnacentral:rRNA from 1 species
AACGAACGCUGGCGGCAGGCUUAACACAUGCAAGUCGAGCGCCCCGCAAGGGGAGCGGCAGACGGGUGAGUAACGCGUGGGAACGUACCUUUUGGUUCGGAACAACUCCGGGAAACUGGAGCUAAUACCGGAUAAGCCCUAACGGGGAAAGAUUUAUCGCCGAAAGAUCGGCCCGCGUCUGAUUAGCUAGUUGGUGAGGUAACGGCUCACCAAGGCGACGAUCAGUAGCUGGUCUGAGAGGAUGAUCAGCCACACUGGGACUGAGACACGGCCCAGACUCCUUCCGGGGGGCGGAGGUGGGAAUAUUGGACAAUGGGCGCAAGCCUGAUCCAGCCAUGCCGCGUGAGUGAUGAAGGCCUUAGGGUUGUAAAGCUCUUUUGUCCGGGAAGAUAAUGACUGUACCGGAAGAAUAAACCCCGGCUAACUUCGU